rnacentral:rRNA from 1 species
AUACGUAGGGGGCGAGCGUUGUCCGGAAUGAUUGGGCGUAAAGGGCGCGUAGGCGGCCCGGUAAGUCUGGAGUGAAAGUCCUGUUUUUAAGAUGGGAAUUGCUUUGGAUACUGUCGGGCUUGAGUGCAGGAGAGGUAAGUGGAAUUCCCAGUGUAGCGGUGAAAUGCGUAGAGAUUGGGAGGAACACCAGUGGCGAAGGCGACUUACUGGACUGUAACUGACGCUGAGGCGCGAAAGUGUGGGGAGCAAACAGGAUUAGAUACCCUGGUAGUCCACACUGUAAACGAUGAAUGCUAGGUGUAGGGGGUAUCGACCCCUUCUGUGCCGCAGUCAACACAAUAAGCAUUCCGCCUGGGGAGUACGGCCGCAAGGUUGAAACUCAAAUGAAGUGGCGG